GACGGAGGAUGCAAGUGUUAUCCGGAAUCACUGGGCGUAAAGCGUCUGUAGGUGGUCAAAUAAGUCAACUGUUAAAUCUUGAGGCUCAACCUCAAAAUCGCAGUCGAAACUAUUCGACUAGAGUAUAGUAGGGGUAAAGGGAAUUUCCAGUGGAGCGGUGAAAUGCGUAGAGAUUGGAAAGAACACCGGUGGCGAAAGCGCUCUGCUAGGCCGCAACUGACACUCAUGGACGAAAGCUAGGGGAGCGAAUGGG
rnacentral:rRNA from 1 species